rnacentral:hammerhead_ribozyme from 1 species
AUCCAGCUUAUGAGUCCCAAAUAGGACGAAAUGCGUAUCCUGGAU